rnacentral:rRNA from 1 species
UACGAACCGUGCGAACGUUGUUCGGAAUCACUGGGCUUAAAGGGCGCGUAGGCGGGCUGUCAAGUCUGGGGUGAAAUCCCACGGCUCAACCGUGGAACUGCCUUAGAUACUGACGGCCUCGAGGGAGAUAGGGGCGAGCGGAACUGUGAGUGGAGCGGUGAAAUGCGUUGAUAUUCACAGGAACUCCGGUGGCGAAGGCGGCUCGCUGGAUCUCUUCUGACGCUGAGGCGCGAAAGCCAGGGGAGCAAACGGG